GAUGAACGCUGGCGGCGUGCCUAAUACAUGCAAGUCGAGCGAACAGAUGAGGAGCUUGCUCCUCUGACGUUAGCGGCGGACGGGUGAGUAACACGUGGAUAACCUACCUAUAAGACUGGGAUAACUUCGGGAAACCGGAGCUAAUACCGGAUAAUAUAUUGAACCGCAUGGUUCAAUAGUGAAAGACGGUUUUGCUGUCACUUAUAGAUGGAUCCGCGCCGCAUUAGCUAGUUGGUAAGGUAACGGCUUACCAAGGCAACGAUGCGUAGCCGACCUGAGAGGGUGAUCGGCCACACUGGAACUGAGACACGGUCCAGAUUCCUACGGGAGGCAGCAGUAGGGAAUCUGCCGCAAUGGGCGAAAGCCUGACGGAGCAACGCCGCGUGAGUGAUGAAGGGCUUCGGAUCGUAAAACUCUGUUAUUAGGGAAGAACAAAUGUGUAAGUAACGAUGCACGUCUUGACGGUACCUAAUCAGAAAGCCACGGCUAACUACGUG
rnacentral:rRNA from 1 species